rnacentral:tRNA from 1 species
GGCGCCAUCGUCUAACGGUUAGGACAUAGGCUUUUCAAGCCUAGAAUCGGAGUUCGAUUCUCCGUGGCGCUA